GAUGAACGCUGGCGGCGUGCCUAAUACAUGCAAGUCGAGCGAACAGACGAGGAGCUUGCUCCUUUGACGUUAGCGGCGGACGGGUGAGUAACACGUGGGUAACCUACCUAUAAGACUGGGAUAACUUCGGGAAACCGGAGCUAAUACCGGAUAAUAUUUCGAACCGCAUGGUUCGAUAGUGAAAGAUGGCUUUGCUAUCACUUAUAGAUGGACCUGCGCCGUAUUAGCUAGUUGGUAAGGUAACGGCUUACCAAGGCAACGAUACGUAGCCGACCUGAGAGGGUGAUCGGCCACACUGGAACUGAGACACGGUCCAGACUCCUACGGGAGGCAGCAGUAGGGAAUCUUCCGCAAUGGGCGAAAGCCUGACGGAGCAACGCCGCGUGAGUGAUGAAGGUCUUCGGAUCGUAAAACUCUGUUAUUAGGGAAGAACAAACGUGUAAGUAACUGUGCACGUCUUGACGGUACCUAAUCAGAAAGCCACGGCUAACUACGUGCCAGCAGCCGCGGUAAUACGUAGGUGGCAAGCGUUAUCCGGAAUUAUUGGGCGUAAAGCGCGCGUAGGCGGUUUUUUAAGUCUGAUGUGAAAGCCCACGGCUCAACCGUGGAGGGUCAUUGGAAACUGGAAAACUUGAGUGCAGAAGAGGAAAGUGGAAUUCCAUGUGUAGCGGUGAAAUGCGCAGAGAUAUGGAGGAACACCAGUGGCGAAGGCGACUUUCUGGUCUGUAACUGACGCUGAUGUGCGAAAGCGUGGGGAUCAAACAGGAUUAGAUACCCUGGUAGUCCACGCCGUAAACGAUGAGUGCUAAGUGUUAGGGGGUUUCCGCCCCUUAGUGCUGCAGCUAACGCAUUAAGCACUCCGCCUGGGGAGUACGACCGCAAGGUUGAAACUCAAUGGAAUUGACGGGGACCCGCACAAGCGGUGGAGCAUGUGGUUUAAUUCGAAGCAACGCGAAGAACCUUACCAAAUCUUGACAUCCUUUGACCCUUCUAGAGAUAGAAGUUUCCCCUUCGGGGGACAAAGUGACAGGUGGUGCAUGGUUGUCGUCAGCUCGUGUCGUGAGAUGUUGGGUUAAGUCCCGCAACGAGCGCAACCCUUAAGCUUAGUUGCCAUCAUUAAGUUGGGCACUCUAAGUUGACUGCCGGUGACAAACCGGAGGAAGGUGGGGAUGACGUCAAAUCAUCAUGCCCCUUAUGAUUUGGGCUACACACGUGCUACAAUGGACAAUACAAAGGGCAGCGAAACCGCGAGGUCAAGCAAAUCCCAUAAAGUUGUUCUCAGUUCGGAUUGUAGUCUGCAACUCGACUACAUGAAGCUGGAAUCGCUAGUAAUCGUAGAUCAGCAUGCUACGGUGAAUACGUUCCCGGGUCU
rnacentral:rRNA from 1 species